UACUUAUUAGAUUUAAGCCAACCCUAGCAAUAGGAUUAAGGUUGAUUCAUGAUAAUUUGUCGAAUCGUAUGACUUUGCGUCGACGAUGGUUCAUUCAAAUUUCUGCCCUAUCAACUUUCGAUUGUAGUGUAUUGGACUACAAUGGUUUCAACGGGUAACGGAGAAUUAGGGUUCGAUUCCGGAGAGGGAGCCUGAGAAACGGCUACCACAUCCAAGGAAGGCAGCAGGCGCGCAAAUUACCCAAUCCCGACACGGGGAGGUAGUGACAAUAAAUACUGAUACAGGGCCCUUUCGGGCCUUGUAAUUGGAAUGAGUACAAUUUAAAUCCCUUAACGAGGAACAAUUGGAGGGCAAGUCUGGUGCCAGCAGCCGCGGUAAUUCCAGCUCCAAUAGCGUAUAUUAAAGUUGUUGUGGUUAAAAAGCUCGUAGUUGAACCUUGGGCCAGGCUGGCCGGUCCGCCUCACCGCGUGCACUGGUCCGGCCGGGCCUUUCCCUCUGUGGAACCCCAUACCCUUCACUGGGCGUGGCGGGGAAACAGGACAUUUACUUUGAAAAAAUUAGAGUGCUCCAGGCAGG
rnacentral:rRNA from 1 species